UGCCUUUACCGCGAGCGGCCGCAGCGGCGCUCGCCCCCGCGACUCCAUCCGAGUCUCCGCCGCUGCGGGUUACCCCGUCCGGCGGUAGCGGGAAGCGAGAGGUAUUGGGGCUGAGGCGGUGAGGGCAGCGGGUGUGGGCUUUACGCCUUACCCUCAGCUCUGAGGUAAUAAUUUCUUGACCAGAGAUGGGUGCAUUUGUGAAAAGUUUGAUGAAAGGCUCGUUGGACCCAAAAUAAUUCGGAGUGAAUUUACUAGGUGAAAGACCAAUGACCAAUUAUUAAUAAUCUGCUAAAAAUAAUAUUUGAAGUUGUAAAGAAAGGAGCAAAUACCAGUGAGAAGUUUCCUGUAGAGUAUGCCAGGAUAUUUUUCCAGUUUCAAAAUCAGAUUACUUAAAUUGACAUCAAAGCAUGUUCUAGAAGGAAAUGACAAAUAUAACAGAGGUGUGCCAUGCCAGUGUUGUUGCUUACAGUGGAUAUUCUAUAAAUAUAUAUUGAUUGGAGUGGCAUAAGUACAGUCCUAGGCUUUUACAAGGGUGUCGUGAGGCAAUCGGUCAUCCUAGCAGUGCGGCCAGAUCCCGGCAAAGAAAAACUUGCCUAUACUCUGCGUGGGAAUUGUUGGUGAUACUGUGCUGUAUCGGUGUGUCAACUGGCUCAGGGAUGAAGACCAAGAGGAGGAGAGACAUAAUUUGGCAGUAUUAAAUUAAGAGUGUAUUUGGGCAUCACUCCCAUUACCACAAACCGGUCAGCCGCCUGCCCGUACCCCACUGAUAGGGUGAAAGUCACAACUGUAGGCUCAUGCCCUCAAACCAAAGCAGCCAGUUGGAAGGAUGCCUGUUUCAGGGUGGGGUGAGACGCCUUCAGAACAUCUAGCCUCGACUACAAAAGGUGGAAAUGAUGGAGACAAGGUGCUCAGAAUUUGAGGAAGAACCAAAUGCUUGGGGAGAGUCACAGAGUUCAAAGAAAUGGCUCAAGGGCUUGGUCCCAAAGCCAGACAUCAGGCUAAUACAGACCUCUGACAAAUGGGGCCAGGAAAGGCAGGACUGGUUCCUUCAACUGCAUAUUAUUUGAAUCUUGGGAUUUCCAGAGAGGGGGAAAAAAAAAGGUAUGGCAGUGUUAGCAGUGGUCCAGGGGGCUACUACAUGCCAGCUGCAAAGUAAUAGCAGCAAGAUACCCACACAGAGCCUGCGUCAAUCCAGGGCAGACAAUCUGACCAUCUCUGCAACUGUUCAAGGAGAAGGUACACGCACACCAGCAUCAAAAACAGGAUUCCUCCCGCAUAAUACUCUAUCAACUCUACUGUUUUGUACUCUCCUGAGCCCUGAUUGCAGUGCUCUGCACACAGUAAGCGCUCAAGAAAUAUGACUGGCUGACUGAUUUUUUUGGAAGGCAGCGAGGAAGGAGUCGGGGGACAGGGAGAGGUUGAAGAGAUAAGUGAAAGAAGGAAGAAAAAGAGGAUUUUUCACAAGGUGACAGGAGGGGGUUCAGGUGGCAAGGUUAGUCUGUUGGAUCAGGAAGGAGAUCUGAGAGCAAGAGGUGAUUCAGGGUGGAGGUUGGCAGGCUGAGUGCCAUGGAGGGACAGGAGGGCCACUGGUGGUGGGAGGAACUAAGUCCAAGUGGGGAAGUGACCGCUCCACUACUACCUGAUGACUGAUUCUAGGGCUAGGAAGUUUCAAUGGUCCAUCUGGAAAAAGUGUUGCAAUGAGAUGUUAAUGUGAACACAUUGCACUUAGUGACCGCUCCACUAAUACCUGAUGACUGAUUCUAGGGCUAGGAAAUUUCAAUGGUCCAUCUGGAAAAAGUGUUGCAAUGAGAUGUUAAUGUGAACAUAUUGCACUUUAUUCAAGUGGUCGAAACAGUAAACUUUCACAAACCACAUUCCUUACCUAUUGAAGCCAAACUAGAGCAUCUCAAGAGAUAUAAGUAAUUGGAGACCGGUGUUCUAAAUACAACAGUCAUGGCCUGCAAAGAGGAGCUAGAUUUUCUGCUUUACCUAGUGAAUCUCUCAGGUUCAAUUGUAAGACUCUUGAAGGCAGGGAUUGUGCUUUUUACUAUACUCUUUCGCAGGCUUAAUUUAGUGCUCUGUCUCUAGUCGACAUCGAAUACUAUUGAUCGAGUAGAACAACAAGAUCAAUUCUUUGGCCUUAAAAUACAACUUGAUACCAGAUAAUCAGAUCAUUCACAGUCCAAGAGGGAGGGAGAACAGGAAUUUAACCCCCAUUUUACAGAUGGG